UACGUAGGUGGCAAGCGUUGUCCGGAUUUAUUGGGUUUAAAGGGUGCGUAGGCGGCCCUGUAAGUCAGUGCUGAAAUAUCCCGGCUUAACCGGGAGGGUGGCAUUGAUACUGCGGGGCUAGAGUACAGAUGAGGUAGGCGGAAUUGACGGUGUAGCGGUGAAAUGCUUAGAUAUCGUCAAGAACACCUAUAGCGAAGGCAGCUUACUAGGCUGUAACUGACGCUGAGGCACGAAAGUGUGGGGGAUCAAAACAGGA
rnacentral:rRNA from 1 species